CUCCAGCAGACCCUCCCUCCCAGACCCUCCUACUUCCUUCCUUGUUGAAACAUGGAUGCUGUCCAGGAAGUAGGAGGGUCUGGGAGGGAGGGUCUGCUGGAG